ACUUAAAUAGCUUAUUAGAGCGUGAUAUUGAAGAUAUCAAGGAAAUUUAUAAAAUUUUUAAGUA
rnacentral:tRNA from 1 species